rnacentral:rRNA from 1 species
GAUGAACGCUGGCGGCGUGCCUAAUACAUGCAAGUCGAGCGAACGGACGAGAAGCUUGCUUCUCUGAUGUUAGCGGCGGACGGGUGAGUAACACGUGGAUAACCUACCUAUAAGACUGGGAUAACUUCGUGAAACCGUAGCUAAUACCGGAUAAUAUUUUGAACCGCAUGGUUCAAAAGUGAAAGACGGUCUUGCUGUCACUUAUAGAUGGAUCCGCGCUGCAUUAGCUAGUUGGUAAGGUAACGGCUUACCAAGGCAACGAUGCAUAGCCGACCUGAGAGGGUGAUCCGCCACACUGGAACUGAGACACGGUCCAGACUCCUACGGGAGGCAGCAGUAGGGAAUCUUCCGCAAUGGGCGAAAGCCUGACGGAGCAACGCCGCGUGAGUGAUGAAGGUCUUCGGAUCGUAAAACUCUGUUAUUAGGGAAGAACAUAUGUGUAAGUAACUGUGCACAUCUUGACGGUACCUAAUCAGAAAGCCACGGCUAACUACGUG